rnacentral:rRNA from 1 species
AGAGUUUGAUCAUGGCUCAAGAUGAACGCUAGCGGCAGGCUUAACACAUGCAAGUCGUGGGGCAGCGCGGGUAGCAAUACUUGGCGGCGACCGGCAAACGGGUGCGGAACACGUACGCAACCUUCCUCAGAGCGGGGAAUAGCCUCUCGAAAGAGAGAUUAAUACCCCAUAGUAUCUUGAAACUGCAUGGUUUUAAGAUCAAAGCUCCGGCACUUUGAGAUGGGCGUGCGGCUGAUUAGGUAGUUGGUAGGGUAACGGCCUACCAAGCCAACGAUCAGUAGCUGAUGUGAGAGCAUGAUCAGCCACACGGGCACUGAGACACGGGCCCGACUCCUACGGGAGGCAGCAGUGAGGAAUAUUGGUCAAUGGAGGCAACUCUGAACCAGCCAUGCCGCGUGAAGGAUGAAGGUCCUCUGGAUUGUAAACUUCUUUUAUAGAAGAAGAAACCCCGGUAUUCUUACCGGGUUGACGGUACUCUAUGAAUAAGCACCGGCUAACUCCGUGCCAGCAGCCGCGGUAAUACGGAGGGUGCAAGCGUUAUCCGGAUUCACUGGGUUUAAAGGGAGCGUAGGUGGGUCUGUAAGUCAGUGGUGAAAUCUCCGAGCUUAACUUGGAAACUGCCAUUGAUACUAUAGAUCUUGAAUACUGUGGAGGUAAGCGGAAUAUGUCAUGUAGCGGUGAA